UACGUAGGCAGCGAGCGUUGUUCGGAGUUACUGGGCGUAAAGGGUGUGUAGGCGGUUCUUUAAGUUUGGUGUGAAAUCUCCCGGCUCAACUGGGAGGGUGCGCCGAAUACUGAGGGACUUCGAGUGCGGGAGAGGAAAGUGGAAUUCCUGGUGUAGCGGUGAAAUGCGUAGAUAUCAGGAGGAACACCGGUGGUGUAGACGGCUUUCUGGACCGUAACUGACGCUGAGACACGAAAGCGUGGGUAGCAAACAGG
rnacentral:rRNA from 1 species